rnacentral:rRNA from 1 species
AUUGAACGCUGGCGGCAUGCCUUACACAUGCAAGUCGAACGGCAUCGCGGGAAAGCUUGCUUUCCUGGCGGCGAGUGGCGAACGGGUGAGUAACACAUCGGAACGUACCGGCUAGUGGGGGAAAACCCGACGAAAGACGGGCUAAUACCGCAUACGCUCUUCGGAGGAAAGCAGGGGACCUUUGGGCCUUGCGCUAGCCGAGCGGCCGAUGUCCGAUUAGCUAGUUGGUGGGGUAAAGGCCUACCAAGGCGACGAUCGGUAGCGGGUCUGAGAGGACGAUCCGCCACACUGGGACUGAGACACGGCCCAGACUCCUACGGGAGGCAGCAGUGGGGAAUCUUGGACAAUGGGGGCAACCCUGAUCCAGCAAUGCCGCGUGGGUGAAGAAGGCCUUCGGGUUGUAAAGCCCUUUCGGCAGGGAAGAAAUCGGCGGGGCGAAUAACCCUGCUGGAUGACGGUACCUGCAGAAGAAGCACCGGCUAACUACGUG